AGCUCUGCACCUGUGUGGCACUGGAACGAGGGCUCUGCUGCUCAAAGGGUCGUGCUGUGGAGCACAAAUCACCGUGGGCAGGAACACGACCCUGUGGAGCUUGGCUGUGGUUCCAGGAGCAAAGUGAGCCAGGAAAACUCCCUGAGGGGGGGAGUCAAAUGAACAUCUCCUUGGAGCUGAAGGGCAGCUUCGGGAGAGCGGCUGGCUGAGGGAGCUUGGGAAGGGCUGUUGGAGACAGACAAGGCUUUGUACACCUUCAGCCUGGGGAAGACACUGUGCAUUUGGGCAAACAUUUGCCACUAGUUUUCACCACAAUUUCACACCAAUUUCUGAUGUCACCAAGGGAGGCACAACCCAUGUUUUCAUCUGUGGUGAAAGAGUAGAAAGUGUGGCCAGAGCAUGGAGAAGUUUUUGAGAGAUUCAGAGCCAACCCGGCAACUGCAUUUGAGCUCAGCAAGACAAAGUGCCAGCUCCUGUUCUGCAAAUAACCUGCCUGGAGAUAAAUGAGCACCACAGAGGAUGAGGGAAGGGAAUUUCAGGGCAGUUCACUCACCACCAGGCAGCCAGUCAGGAGUCCAGCAGCUUGUGUGAUGUGGAAUGAACAAAAGGAC